rnacentral:rRNA from 1 species
UACGAAGGAUCCAAGCGUUAUCCGGAUUUAUUGGGUUUAAAGGGUGCGUAGGCGGAAUAGUAAGUCAGUGGUGAAAGCCUGUCGCUUAACGACAGAACUGCCAUUGAUACUGCUAAUCUUGAGUAUAAUUGAAGUGGGCGGAAUGUGUCGUGUAGCGGUGAAAUGCUUAGAUAUGACACAGAACACCGAUUGCGAAGGCAGCUCACUAAACUAUAACUGACGCUGAGGCACGAAAGCGUGGGGAUCAAACAGG